rnacentral:rRNA from 1 species
UGGGGGGAUAUUGCACAAUGGAGGAAACUCUGAUGCAGCAACGCCGCGUGAAGGAUGAAGGUCUUCGGAUUGUAAACUUUUGUACUUGGGGACGAUAAUGACGGUACCCAAGCAGCAAGCUCCGGCUAACUACGUGCCAGCAGCCGCGGUAAUACGUAGGGAGCAAGCGUUGUCCGGAUUUACUGGGUGUAAAGGGUGCGUAGGCGGCUAU